AACGAACGCUGGCGGCGUGCCUAACACAUGCAAGUCGAACGUGAUCCGCCCUUCGGGGUGGUGAAAGUGGCGCACGGGUGAGUAACGCGUGGAUAAUCUGCCCGAGGAUUUGGGAUAACAUCUCGAAAGGGGUGCUAAUACCGAAUAAGCCCACGGGGUCUACGGAUCUUGCGGGAAAAGGGGGGGACCUUCGGGCCUCCUGUCCUUGGAUGAGUCUGCGUACCAUUAGCUAGUUGGUGGGGUAAUGGCCUACCAAGGCGACGAUGGUUAGCUGGUCUGAGAGGAUGAUCAGCCACACUGGAACUGAGACACGGUCCAGACUCCUACGGGAGGCAGCAGUGGGGAAUUUUGCGCAAUGGGGGAAACCCUGACGCAGCAACGCCGCGUGGGUGAUGAAGGCCUUCGGGUCGUAAAGCUCUGUCUGGAGGGAAGAAAUGAUUGGGAGCUAAUACCUCUUGAUCUUGACGGUACCUCUGAAGGAAGCACCGGCUAACUCCGUGCCAGCAGCCGCGGUAAUACGGAGGGUGCAAGCGUUGUUCGGAAUUAUUGGGCGUAAAGCGCGUGUAGGCGGUCUUUUAAGUCUGAUGUGAAAGCCCCGGGCUCAACCUGGGAAGUGCAUUGGAAACUGGGAGGCUUGAGUACGGGAGAGGAGAGUGGAAUUCCUAGUGUAGGAGUGAAAUCUGUAGAUAUUAGGAGGAACACCGGUGGCGAAGGCGGCUCUCUGGACCGAUACUGACGCUGAGACGCGAAAGCGUGGGUAGCAAACAGGAUUAGAUACCCUGGUAGUCCACGCCGUAAACGAUGAGUACUAGGUGUUGCGGGUAUUGACCCCUGCAGUGCCGUAGCUAACGCAUUAAGUACUCCGCCUGGGAAGUACGGUCGCAAGACUAAAACUCAAAGGAAUUGACGGGGGCCCGCACAAGCGGUGGGAGCAUGUGGUUUAAUUCGACGCAACGCGCA
rnacentral:rRNA from 1 species